rnacentral:rRNA from 1 species
GUAGGUGCAAGCGUUGUCCGGAAUUAUUGGGCGUAAAGCGCGCGCAGGCGGUUCGUUUAAGUCUGAUGUGAAAGCCCACGGGCUCAACCGUGGAGGGUCAUUGGAAACUGGAGAACUUGAGUACAGAAGAGGAAAGCGGAAUUCCACGUGUAGCGGUGAAAUGCGUAGAGAUGUGGAGGAACACCAGUGGCGAAGGCGGCUUUCUGGUCUGUAACUGACGCUGAGGCGCGAAAGCGUGGGGAGCAAACAGGAUUAGAUACCCUGGUAGUCCACGCCGUAAACGAUGAGUGCUAAGUGUUAGGGGGGUUUCCGCCCCUUAGUGCUGCAGCUAACGCAUUAAGCACUCCGCCUGGGGAGUACGGCCGCAAAGGCUG